rnacentral:lncRNA from 1 species
CGUAACUGAACUGUUGAGCCAUGUUUCGGAUACGGUAAAUAUGUCAAACUUAUUUUCCAGUACCGCUUCCUUUACAAGAACGAAAUGCUCACGGCAUUUAAGCGAGCGAACGUUAAGAUGUGCAAUCUUCACAUUGCCAUUUGACUUUUCAGACUUGUUUCUGAUAGAGCUGUUUGCUGGUCCAGGGUUAAGUUCAACAUCAUGUAAUAGUUUUAUAACAGGUCUAAAAGUCGAGGUUGAAUUGGCAUAAUAGGCUGUUGUAACGUUUGCUCGUUUCACUCUAAUAGUGACAUGCACGUGUACCCGCCAUUUUGUACAGAGUCUCGAAUCCCAGUUUGCCACUUAAACCGACGUAGAGUGCGGGAAGCGUGGACCAAAGUACUCAUUGGUAAAAGAGUAGUCUUGUUUAUCUUUCCACGAGGUAUGAACAAGACACAAGAGGAGUACAAGUCCAAUGACUCAUGAGCUCAGAAUCACACAUCCGCCCUCCAUUAUGAUAUGCAAAACCCAUGUUCUUGUGCUUUCAUUUUUUUGUUUUUGUUUUCCAAUUAUUCUCUCAUUAUGGUAUCAAGCAAACCUGUACCUCCUGCUAGCUUAAUUAAAUGAAAAUGUAUCUGUAGGUGGAGGAGAAUUUGUAGCACUUUCAAAAUGUUUCCUUUUAGUUAGAGAUCUGUACACAUGUACAGUCCACAAAAUUAACAUUACCUCUGUUUCCUUGAGAACAGGGCUUCAGGAGACUGUGAAAAAGACAUGUGGGAGAUUCCCCAGCAUUUCAUCUUGUUCAACUUCAAGUUGAGUGCAUCAAAUUGUUCUGCAGUGCCAUCAGCCUGGUCACUACUCCUUGCUUGGUGACAGUCACUCAACACCACUCCCUGCUGUGACAAUCAACUGUCUCCUUAGCAAAGAUUCAGAACUCCAAACAGUCGGAGCUGCUUUAGUUUCCAAUAUCGCAACAGUUAAGAUACACGAAGACAUCGCGUUGGAGUGUUCUACAGCCGUAAUUGAACUCUUAACCAGAAAUGUUUCUCCAGAGACAGAACAUAAUUAUUUGUACACUCUGAGAAGAUUUAUGGAUUACAAUUCAGAGGAAUUUCUUGACUACCUGAGAAAACGCGACUGUGGUUUUUUGUAGGUGGCUGGCCUUGUAAGUGUCAUGGGAGUAAAUGUUGGCAAAUAUAAAGAAAGAUCUUCUGACAUUGAUGAACUUUGCAGAGAUUUGGAAAAGUCACUCAGUUACAAUCAGUCGAAAUCAUUACGCUUAUGGAUUAUGAAAGACUCAUAUGUAUGAAAAGCGUUUUAACUGCUGACGAAAAAUUUAACUUGUUCAUUUUUCGGUCGAGAAAUUACUACAUCAGAUGACGUUGUUAUUCUCCGAAAUUCUCGGAGAAAGGUCUGACUACACUUACAUCUGCGUUGCUGUUGUUCAGCGGACAACUCACCAUACCAUUUUAAUUUUAAUGACCUGUUUUGGGAAUAGAAAGGAACAAAAACCUAAGAUAAUAAUGAAGUGUUAGCUCGUCUGCUGAAAAUCUAAAACUUUGAUUAAUUUACAAUUAUCUGGCUGAGGCGAAGUGAAUAUUGAGCACAAAAUUCAACAAGCCACAGGGAAAGUAACUGUUAUAAUAAAAUAACUCGAGUGGAUCUCAUAGAAACUGAAUACGGAUCAUUUUAGUUUUCUGGGCAACCGAGAUCGAUUUCACUUUCUCGAGCUUGCACAACAACCUGUACACGAUUUUCACAAAUUGACACUCACAGUUUCUGGGCAACCAGUCGAUUUUCAGUCGUCACGAUUUAUAAGUCACUCGAUAAACGAAUUAAAGCGAGACUCGUUUGUUUGUGAAUAGAAACGAGACUCGUAUGUAGAAACGAGACUCGUUUGUAGAAACGAGACUCGUUUG